GGUCACGCUGUAGUGCUGCUGCUGUCACGAGCUUGAUCAAGGCAGCGGGGUAAAGGUUCGAAGAAUUAAAACGGACAAAUAUUAUUCGACAUAUCUCCUUUUGCCUUUUUUUUUUAGCCUCACGCUAAAUACUCCGAGGCUACGUUGUUUUUGUCGCUGGCUGACAACAAACUGUUACUGAUGUUGUUUCACUCAACCGGUGAUGUAUCGCAGCAUUUGUACGCUAUCGCUAGCCAGCUAGUUGGCUAGCUGUUGAGCUAGCUGUACGGCGCUUGCGACUCGAGGAUAACUUAACGGCGUAUUCCAGGGUGUUAUUUUCAUUAACGCCUCUUGAAUUGCCACCUUUACGCCCGCCUGGAAGAUAUCAACACAGUGCGAGGUUUUAUCAUACAAUUACAUUUCUACUGUAGCCGUGUUUCAUGUUAUUCGCGUUUAAUCCUCGCUCGAGAAGGAUUGAAUGAAAUAGCUUGACAUAGCCAGCGGAAACGAGCCACUUAACGGGGAUAAGGUUUAUUUACCGCGCUUCGCCUUGAUUGUCGCCAUCCACCGAACCUUACAAUCAGGACCAUCUAGCCUUCUGCAUAAAGCAACAUCAUCAGAAAACACAAAAUCCUAAAGUUUUAUUUUUAUAUUUUUUUUUUACGAUUGACUGGCAGUGCUAAGUAGCUAGCUAGUCCUACACUUCAAGUUGCGGAUCGUCCACUCCAUCACAGAAGCUGACCAACAGAGGUUAUUUUUUCCACUUUCAGGCCGAAUAAAAACCUGCAAAAAUGCCGGCUGUGUCGAAAGGAGAUGGAAUGCGCGGAUUAGCUGUUUUCAUUUCGGACAUAAGGAAUUGUAAAAGCAAGGAAGCCGAGAUCAAGCGGAUCAAUAAAGAGCUGGCCAACAUUCGCUCCAAAUUUAAAGGGGACAAAGCUCUUGAUGGCUACAGCAAGAAGAAAUAUGUCUGUAAGCUGCUGUUUAUCUUCCUUCUUGGCCACGACAUUGACUUUGGACACAUGGAGGCAGUCAACUUGCUAAGUUCCAACAAGUACACAGAAAAGCAAAUUGGCUACCUGUUCAUCUCAGUUCUGGUCAACAGCAACAGCGAACUGAUCCGUCUGAUUAACAAUGCCAUCAAAAAUGACUUGUCCAGCCGCAACCCCACUUUCAUGUGCCUGGCACUUCACUGUAUUGCCAACGUGGGCAGCCGUGAGAUGGCUGAGGCAUUUGCGAGUGAAAUACCCCGCAUCUUAGUUGCUGGUGAUACAAUGGACAGCGUGAAGCAAUCAGCUGCCCUGUGUCUGCUGCGGCUCUAUAAGACUUCUCCUGACUUAGUACUGAUGGGGGAAUGGACAUCCCGUGUGGUGCACCUUCUAAAUGACCAACAUAUGGGUGUGGUGACAGCAGCCAUUUCUCUUAUCACCUGUUUGAGUCAGAAGAAUCCAGAUGAGUUUAAGACCUGUGUUUCCCUGGCCGUGUCACGACUCAGCAGGAUUGUGUCAUCAGCUUCCACCGACCUGCAAGAUUACACCUACUACUUUGUCCCAGCACCAUGGCUCUCUUGUAAAUUGCUGCGCCUGCUGCAGUGCUAUCCUCCACCUGAAGAUGGUGCUGUGAAGGGCCGUCUGGUGGAGUGUCUGGAAACCAUACUCAACAAGGCACAGGAGCCACCUAAGUCAAAGAAAGUACAGCACUCUAAUGCCAAGAAUGCUAUCCUCUUCGAGGCUAUCUCCCUUAUCAUCCACUAUGACAGUGAGCCAAAUCUGCUAGUGCGAGCCUGUAACCAGCUGGGUCAAUUCCUGCAGCACCGAGAGACUAACCUGCGCUACUUGGCUCUGGAAAGCAUGUGUACUCUGGCCAGCUCAGAGUUUUCUCAUGAAGCAGUCAAAACACACAUUGAGACUGUGAUAAAUGCGCUCAAGACUGAGCGGGAUGUUAGUGUUCGACAGAGAGCAGCAGAUCUGCUGUAUGCCAUGUGUGAUCGCAGCAAUGCCAAGCAAAUUGUAGCUGAGAUGCUCAGCUACCUUGAGACAGCUGACUACUCCAUCAGAGAGGAGAUGGUGCUCAAAGUGGCUAUCCUGGCCGAGAAGUAUGCUGUCGAUUACUCUUGGUACGUCGACACCAUUCUCAACCUCAUCCGCAUAGCUGGCGAUUAUGUCAGUGAAGAGGUAUGGUACCGUGUCAUCCAGAUCGUCAUCAAUCGUGAUGAUGUACAAGGAUAUGCUGCCAAGACAGUCUUUGAGGCGUUGCAAGCCCCUGCCUGUCAUGAGAACAUGGUGAAGGUUGGAGGCUACAUUCUUGGAGAGUUUGGUAACCUCAUUGCAGGUGACCCCCGUUCUAGCCCGCUAGUCCAGUUCAACCUUCUUCACUCCAAGUUCCAUCUAUGCUCUGUGCCGACUCGUGCCCUGCUACUGUCAGCCUACAUCAAGUUCAUCAACUUGUUCCCAGAGACCAAGACCACGAUUCAGGAGGUUCUUCGCUGUGACAGCCAGAUUCGCAACUCUGAUGUAGAGCUACAGCAGCGUGCUGUGGAGUAUUUGAAGCUCUCUUCUAUUGCCAGCACCGAUGUCUUGGCCACUGUUCUGGAGGAGAUGCCUCCUUUCCCUGAGAGGGAGUCUUCAAUCUUGGCUAAGCUGAAGAAGAAGAAGGGGCCUGGUGCAGUUUCAGUGACGGACCUGGAGGACAGCAAACGGGAGGGCGGGGAGUUGAAUGGAGGCGGCGAACGGGGCCCAGACACAUCAGCCAUGGCUACCUCCAAUGCUUCCACCCCAUCACCAUCAGCAGACCUACUUGGGAUUCGAUCUGGACCUCCUGUUGGCGCCGCUCCAACUAGUGCUGGCAGCCUGUUGGUGGAUGUGUUCUCUGAAGCAGGGCCCGCUGCACCCUCUGCUGUAGUGAAUGAUGAAGGCUUCCUAAGAGAUCUGGAACAGCCCACCGAGACCUCUGACUCCCUAAUGGUGGAGGGUUCUGGUGACUCGGAGUCAGAGGACAAAGAUGUUAUGGGCUCUGCUCCUCCCUCUGAGGAUCCUGCUCCCCCUCUGUCUGAGGCUGAUGAACUCCUUAACAAGUUUGUGUGCAAGAACAAUGGUGUUUUGUUUGAGAAUCAACUCCUACAGAUUGGCAUCAAGUCAGAAUAUCGUCAAAAUCUUGGGAGAAUGUACUUGUUCUAUGGCAACAAGACGUCAGUGCAAUUUGCCAGCUUCACCACCACAGUCAGCUGUCCCGGAGAGCUCCAGUCACAGCUUAAUGUUCAAACCAAACCAGUGGAAGCACUGGUAGAGGGAGGAGCCCAGAUCCAGCAGGUCCUCAACAUCGAGUGUCUGACGGACUUUUCCGAUGCGCCACUACUCAACAUCAAGUUCAAAUAUGGAGGAGCUCUGCAAAACCUCUCCCUCAAGCUGCCCGUCACCAUCAACAAAUUCUUCCAGCCAACUGAAAUGUCCUCAAAUGAUUUCUUUCAACGUUGGAAACAACUUAGCCAGCCUCAGCAAGAAGCGCAAAAGAUAUUCAAGGCCAACCACAGCAUGGACACAGAAGUACUGAAGGCUAAGCUACUGGGACUAGGAGCGGCCCUGCUGGACAAUGUCGAUCCAAACCCAGAGAACUACGUGUCUGCUGGAGUGAUCCAGACCAAGGGACAGCAAGUUGGCUGUCUGCUAAGACUGGAGCCCAAUGCCCAGGCACAGUUGCAGAUCAGACGUGUACAACGAUCAGGAUGACUUUUUGGACCAUUCCUCUUUACAAAACUGUUGCAGUUCUGCAAGAUUCCUGGGAUGUCUAGUGUGAAUAGCUCUCGAGAUGUACCGACUGACUCUGCGCUGCAGCAAGGACUCUGUGUCAAGGCGUCUCUGCGAGUUGCUGGCCCAACAGUUCUAGAAUAGCCAGAGUUCCAGAACUUUAUCAAGACCACCCCUACCAGCGAGCCCUCCCCACUCCUGCCACACUUCAAUUCCUCCUCUUGUCAACAAAGGUUCUUUUUAAUUACGAAAAAAGGUGUAACCAAUAUAAGGGAAAAGCAGUCACUGUUAGCACUGCAGCAGCGACCAUAUUAUUGUCAUUACUCUAAUUCAAGUUCAUCUACAAUUUGGUUAUUAACAUAAUGCUACAUUAUCGUUUUUUUCUUUAUGGUGUUUACCUGUGUAGCUGGUGUGUGCAGCCAGGACUGUGCGUGUGUGCGUGUCCCACUGUGUGCUGCGGUCCUAUUCUGUUUUAUCCUGGCUGCUCUGUACUUCUGAUGCUAUAUGUACAGUGUGUGUGUGCAGGUGGGUGUGUGUGUGCAUUUGGUUUAGUUUUUCUUAAAGACAAAUUGGAGAUAGUUUUCAUCACACACAUUCACCCAUUUUCUCUUGGCCUAUUCACACGCACACACCCACACAAGUAGUUCCUUGUGGCCCUCGUCGGGUGAAGGGAGACGUGAAGGUCCAGCUAAUUUCAAGCAUUCCCCAUGAUCAAAGGCCAGUUAAAAUGCACUUCAGGCUUUUGGGAUCCUCUGUGAGACCCUCCAGCAUGAGCCCCCUAGUGUGAACAACCUGAUUGCUCUCCUGGGGCUCUGUAAUUAGUAGCCCUACAUUUCAAUGACCGUGAUGGUUUAUUCGUUGAUGUCUGUAAAUUUGCCGCAGUGUGUUACUUUAUUGCUUUCAUAGACAUUCCCAUCUAGUGUGUGGCUAAGAUUAUCUAGGCCAGGAUGCCCAUCUAGACAAAUGGCAGUAAAUGGGAAGUAAGGUGAUUGACACAGGGUCGACAUUUUCAGUUGAAACAGGACUUCUCUUACCCACUACCUUGAGGGAUGUCCAGGUGAAAUGUGAGCUGCUCUACUGUGCAACCUAGAUUGUUUUUGAAGAGAUGCCAAAUUGUCUUUUUGAGAAAGGCCUCCUUUAUUUUUAAAUAAAUUGAGCACUUCUAAGGAUAAUAUAUUUAAACUUUGUCUUUACCCAUCAGAUAAAAUGGUCCCAAUGAUGCUAAGUACGUUGAUAUAGGCUUGAUCUGUUGCUCCAAUGUUCAUACAGAAUAACACUUUUUCAACAGUCUGCAUCAUAAAUCCAUCAACCUCCAAAUAUUUCUAUUCACAGAUUUGAUCUUCUUUCUUGGGCUUCCUCUUGCACACAGCAGCAAUAGUGAUGUAGUGGAAGAGUAUUAGAGUAGUCCAUUAUAAUAACUACAGGGAACUCUGUUUAUGUGAGAACUUGAGUGAGUCUGGAAGCAGGUAAUAAAAAGAAAUACUUAAGACUUUUCAGAGACAUCAUCAAAUUACAAUCUGUGGCUGCACAGCAAUCACAAAAUAUUGUAGUGGAAAGCUUAGUCAUUUUUUUUGUCAUUCUGUGAGUGUAUGUUUGUGUGUGCGUGUCUAUGCAGUAUCCACUAGCUAAUGCAGCCUCAUUUAUUGAUGUUAAAAAAAAAUUCCAAUACCUGUGUUAGAAUUAAGAUUUACUCUGUAAUGAAAAAUGUGAAGUAAAACUAUGCCAUAUAUCGGACAUGA